rnacentral:rRNA from 1 species
GCCUGAUCCAGCCACGCCGCGUGAGUGAUGAAGGCCUUCGGGUGUAAAGCUCUGUCGGGAGGGACGAAGUUCUGACGGUACCUCCCAAGAAAGCGCCGGCUAACUCCGUGCCAGCAGCCGCGGUAAUACGGAGGGCGCAAGCGUUGCUCGGAAUCACUGGGCGUAAAGCGAACGCAGGCGGCCGAGUGUGUCGGAUGUGAAAGCCCCAGGCUCAACUUGGGAACUGCAUUCGAAACUGCUCGGCUUGAGUCCGGAAGAGGGUGGUGGAAUUCCUGGUGUAGAGGUGAAAUUCGUUGAUAUCAGGAGGAACACCCGGCGGCGAAGGCGGCCAACCUGGUCCGGUACUGACGCUCAUGUUCGAAAGCGUGGGUAGCAAACAGGAUUAGAUACCCUGGUAGUCCACGCCGUAAACGAUGUGUGCUAGGUGUUGGAGGUAUUCACCCCUUCAGUGCCGAAGCUAACGCAUUAAGCACACCGCCUGGGGAGUACGGUCGCAAGAUUAAAACUCAAAGGAAUUGACGGGGG